AUACGUAGGUGGCAAGCGUUGUCCGGAAUUAUUGGGCGUAAAGCGCGCGCAGGCGGUCCUUUAAGUCUGAUGUGAAAGCCCACGGCUCAACCGUGGAGGGUCAUUGGAAACUGGGGGACUUGAGUGCAGAAGAGGAAAGUGGAAUUCCAAGUGUAGCGGUGAAAUGCGUAGAGAUUUGGAGGAACACCAGUGGCGAAGGCGACUUUCUGGUCUGGAACUGACGCUGGGGCGCGAAAGCGUGGGGAGCAAACAGGAUUAGAUACCCGGGUAGUCCACGCCGUAAACGAUGAGUGCUAAGUGUUAGGGGGUUUCCGCCCCUUAGUGCUGCAGCUAACGCAUUAAGCACUCCGCCUGGGGAGUACGGUCGCAAGACUGAAACUCAAAUGAAUUGACGGGG
rnacentral:rRNA from 1 species